rnacentral:rRNA from 1 species
UACGUAGGGUGCGAGCGUUGUCCGGAAUUACUGGGCGUAAAGAGCUCGUAGGUGGUUUGUCGCGUUGUUCGUGAAAACCGGGGGCUUAACCCUCGGCGUGCGGGCGAUACGGGCAGACUUGAGUACUGCAGGGGAGACUGGAAUUCCUGGUGUAGCGGUGGAAUGCGCAGAUAUCAGGAGGAACACCGAUGGCGAAGGCAGGUCACUGGGCCGCAACUGACGCUGAGGAGCGAAAGCAUGGGGAGCGAACAGG